ncrna:Vibrio mimicus CAIM 602 uxuA RNA
UAACUAGCUUGCCAGCGUAAGCUGGCACUGAUCAGCGCGGUUGUUUUUGCAACCGUAUAAUAAGAAGUCGUUACGCACUGAGCUUGA